CUGACAAUCAGCAUGAAUUGUUCAGCAAUCUCCUCAGACAACUGUUUCAAACUCUUGGAUUCAAGUUACCUGGAACUGCUGAUUUAAAAAUGUCUGACUUUAGUAGCUUCUUUUUAACUCUUCCAGAGAGAUUCGUAGAAUGGCAAGAGUGUACUCAUCGUGAUAUGCUCAAGUACUAGCCAGAUUUGUUAUAGUCAGGAGGCAAUGAUACUUCAGGGACUUUCCAGAUGCAGGAUGGAGUAUGCAGGGUCUCAAGUGCUACAUAGUACUAAACACUCUUCUACAUCAGUGGCUGCUUCCAGGCUGAAUUGGGAACUGCAUGGAGAAGAGAGGCAAAGUAUCUGAGAAGUAUCAUGGAUAGAAUGAAUAGUCAAACAUAUAAGCAUAGCUUUGAGAUGGUUCUAACAUCAAUCCUAGAGUUGCUACCCCACAAUUUGAGGGACUCACGUACCCAACCAAUCUGGGAUUGGUUCAUCUGGAAGAUUACUUAGAAUGGUGACUUUGUUGUUGCAGAAACAAUUGACAUGGAUUUACCUUUCAGUCAUGUCAUUUUCAUGUUGGAUAGGACUUGAAAGAUCUUAGCCAGUGUUACUGCUGUUGAUUCACGUCAUGGAUAAACCCACAGUUCAGACAGCAACACUACAAAAGCUAUUGUUCUAACAUCUGUUACUUUCCCUGCAAUGGGAGUCAAGCACACUGAUGCUGCAGAGAUGAGCACCAUAGAAAAUCUCAUUGCAUGUUCAGUGCAGGGUUUGGAUGGUAUGCAGCCAGUAAGGUCAGCCACAUAUUGAAUCAGGAGGAUAAAAAGGGAAUAUUGAAUAGCUACCUCAUUCAGUGAGGAUCAUCCAUCCUGUGCCUGAAGGAGGCAGGGGGCCGGCAGAAAAAAAUAGUACCUAGGCACGUAAUUAAAGGCUGUAUCAUAAUGCAUAUGCACAAGGGGGCAACCUUAACUCUGUCAUUUCCAAACUUUUGAGUGCUUGACUUUGCAACCGAAAUGCUAGUCUUUUAAAGUCAUUUCUUACCUGAGCUAUACAUAUUGUUGGUUCGGAUUUGGGAUUAUUCAUCUCAAUAUGACCUGAAUACACAUAUUACAGCACAGUACUAAAUGGCUGCUCAAAUAGCUGGAUUUUUCACACUUCACAGUGAUGAAACAGAUAGAGCAUUUCCCUCCCAGCGAACACCAGAUAUAUUAUUCAGUCAACAUGACCUUGCCUGCAGACUGAAAAUCUUUUAGCCCUUGAGAUUUUCUUUAUUAAAAAUUACUUUAUUCAGUAUAAGCUUAAGGAAGACCAUGUGUGACUGCAAAGCUACUGGUAAAUUAAAACUGAGAAAGCAUUAACGGUUAACUCUGUGCCAAACAGGAUGCUUAGUACCUACCAAUAUGUUUACUACUGAUAAAUAAAAACAUGCAAUCAUCCAUAAAAAGGGCAAGUCGUCCUUUAUUCACUGUUUCCACCUAAACUAAUCGACAAAAACGAUACCAGGCACUCAUAGCUCCAUUGCAAUGUUUUUAUUUUCCAGCAUAAGUGACAAUCCACAGGGGCCUUCACUGUUGCUUUAAAACACAUAUGGCUUGUCAGUAGAAGCAGGUGGCAUGCAUUUCACUACAAGCACAGUUCUACUUAUCAAACACUUUUCCCUCAGCUGGGAAUAAUACUCAGUUCAAUUUAGCCUGCCUACA